GGGCCCGCACAAGCGGUGGAGCAUGUGGUUUAAUUCGACGCAACGCGAAGAACCUUACCUGGGCUUGACAUCCUCUGAACAUCUAAGAGAUUAGGUUUUCUAGCAAUAGAACAGAGAGACAGGUGCUGCAUGGCUGUCGUCAGCUCGUGCCGUGAGGUGUUGGGUUAAGUCCCGCAACGAGCGCAACCCUUGUCGUGUGUUGGUCGCAAGAUCUCUCACACGAGACCGCCGGUGACAAGCCGGAGGAAGGUGGGGAUGACGUCAAGUCAGCAUGGCCCUUACGUCCAGGGCUACACACGUGCUACAAUGCGCCGGACAGCGAGUCGCGAACCCGCGAGGGCAAGCUAAUCUCUUAAACCGGCGCUCAGUUCGGAUUGAAGGCUGCAACUCGCCUUCAUGAAGUCGGAAUCGCUAGUAACCGCAGAUCAGCUACGCUGCGGUGAAUACGUUCCCGGGCCUU
rnacentral:rRNA from 1 species